rnacentral:misc_RNA from 1 species
AAAAAACUAUAAGUUAUAUGAGGAAGAAAUCUCAUUGGGAGUAAAGGUGCUUUCACUCUUUUUAUUUAUUCAUUUAUUUAUUUUUCAAAUAGUUUCUUUUUUUUCUUUUAUCGCUUGUUUUUCGAUCAAUCCCUGAUCGUUGCGCAACCUGGAAUUCUUGAUUGAAAAUUGUGAAUGUACGAAAUUCUAUAUAUUUUUAGAAGAUAUAGGUCGGAAUAGCCGAUAUGAUUGAAUUAAAAGGGUCUACAGGUUGACCACCCAUCCCAUCAAGGUGAUGGAUGGAUGUCCACAUCACCCAUGCAUUUUGCUACGCCUACGUCCAAUUUUCCAUUCAAACGAUUGGCAGAAAUCUUCCUUCUGUGCUUUCGACAAAACCUCUGUGGAUACAUACACAUACACGCAUGCAAAACAGACUGACCAAGUACUAUUUGUUCCAUUUUGAUUUUAUCACAUUAGCAGAUGGUAAAAGAAGUUGGCGUCUGUCAGCUUCAUAGACCAAAUAUCUCUGUACAUGAUUAAUCAAACAACAAGUGAAGGAAAAGAUAUCGAUCCCUGGGGUUUAACAGGAUUCUUGUCAUUAUUUGCUUGUCAUUUGCUGUUUUCUGACUUCAAGUAGGUGCUUGUAAUGUCAAUCCUGAUACCUUUACAUUCUUUCUAAGCGUUUUGAUUUGUGAACAG